rnacentral:tRNA from 1 species
AUUUCAGUAGUUUAACUAAAAACACUGGUCUUGUAAACCAGAAACGAGGAACACCACCCUCCUGAAAUA